GACUUUCUUGGAAAUUAUGGUACUUAUCAAUUGAGUUAUAGUAUGUUGUUUUGGGUACACAAGAUCUGUAUGUUUUCUAUACAAACUUCAAACUAAGUUCAAGAAUAAGUUUUCAAGAACUACAAUGAAGUUCAACACCUUCAAACACAAACUCAAAUGAAUAAUCAAAAGAACUAUCAAAUGAAGUGUUUAUCAACUAUAAAGAAAUAAAAAUGACGCAGAAAUUUAAGAACCAAGUCCACUGACUUCACGGUAUGUCCUUAAGGAAUUUAUUCUCCUCAAGUAUCCAAGGUUAUGAAAUCUUUUCUCCCAGGAUAAAAUGGUUCACUUUCUGAACGUAGCGGUACCUCAAACUUUCAAAAAUUUCAAACGCACUCAACAAUUUGAUGAUCACAAGAGAGUUUUUAAGAAGAAGAAGAAUGUCUUCAACUCUAAAAAUUAUUGUCUUUACUUGAGGAAAAAUUCAAGUAUUUAUAGUCAUCAAGGUGUUGCUUUAGGAAGAGAAGCAAUGGUUCAGAAAGGUGCACCCUGUCAUAAAGGUGCAACUCUUUGAAAAGGUGCAACUCUUCGGAAAGAUUCAACCCAUUAGAAAAGUCAUAAUCAUUCAAUCCAAAACGGUGUUUAUUCAAAUUGCAUCCUUUCUCUUAGUGUCUUUCCUGAAAAAACACCACCUUUUCAUUUUUCAUUCACACCUCUUAAUAACCCAACAAUCCCCACAUGAAUGGGAAAUGUCUGUCUUAUAAAAUUUUUACGGAUAAGUAUAUGAUCAACAAGCAAAGACUGAUUGCAUUUGGAUGAGUGGGUUUCCCUUUGAACUUUCCGUAGUGAACAUGCAUCAGAUGCACUCAGUCAAUCGGUAGAUUUGAUAUCUUUGAACCAUCGAACUUUAAUGUACAUCUAGACAACGCAUAUCACACAACCAGUCUUUAACCGUUUAUGGUUCUCACAGUUUUAUUCGUUUCAGCCAUGAACACGUCCUGAUUUCAUGCGAGCGUAGAGAAUAGGCCUUUACUAACAAUCUCGUUGAAGUGACUUUCACUUUACCCUCACGUAGCUGAUUUCUAAAUGUUCAAUCCUAUAGAUAAAAUUAUUUGAUCAAAUUUGUUAAAUUUAGAUAAUAAUUAAAAAUCUUUACACCAUAAGCCCUAUCCUUGUUUACUAAAUAUUUUCUACAUCAUGAGAAAGAGUUGGAUAUAUUAACAAUGUUGAACCUGUUAGUCACAACUUUGUUUGAUCUCCUUGAACCUAGCUCUUGGGAUCUCCAGUCUGCUAGGUAGAGUUACCGCUAUGCUGACUUGUCCUAAGCCGUAAACCCAUUCCCUUCGAUGUUCCCUCAACUCCUUCUCUAGAUAGACCAUUAGUAAGUUGAUCCGACACAUUAUCCUUUGAAUUCACAUAGUCAACAGUGAUAAUUCCACUAGAGAGAAGUUCUCUAACAGUAUUAUGUCUCCGUCUUAUAUGACGAGAUUUACCGUUAUACAUCAUGCUCUCUACUCUACCUAUUGUCUCUUGGCUAUCACAGUGUAUACAUACUGGUGCCACUAGUUUGAGCCAAUAAGAAAUAUCUUUCAAGAAAUUUUGGAGUCAUUCAUCUUCUUCACUGGUUUUAUCUAAUGUGAUUAAUUCAGAUUCUAUUGUAAAGCAAGCAACACAUGUCUGUUUGGACGAUUUCCAAGAGACUGCUCCUCCACCUAAAGUAAAUGCAUAUCCACUUGUGGAUUUUACUUCAUUCGAUCCGGAGACCCAAUUUGCUUAUAUCCUUUAAUUACCGCUGGAUAUUUACUAUAAUGCAAAGCAUAGUCUUGAGUGUAUUUAAGAUACCCCAAAACUCUUUUCAUCUCCAUCCAAUGAGUUUUAUUGGAAUUACUCAUGUACCGACUCAAUUUACUAAUAGCACAUGCUAUGUCUGACCGUGUACAGUUCGUGAUAUACAUUAAACAUCCCAACACUCUUGCGUAGUCCAAUUGUGAGUCACUUUCACCUUCAUUCUUUUGAAGUGCAAAGUUCACGUCUAAUGGAGUCUUGACAAUACCGAAUUCCAAAUACUUGAUUGUCAAGUACCUUUUUAAUAUAAUGAGAUUGUGACAAUGCCAACCCAUGUGGAGUUUUAUGGAUUCUUAUUCCUAAGAUCACAUCCGCAACUCCAAGGUCUUUCAUAUCAAACUUGCUCUCAAGCAUUCGUUUCGUAGCAUUUAUGUCAGAAAUGUCUCUACUGAUGAUCAACAUAUCAUCCACAUACAAACAAGCAAUGAUUUGUGAUUUGGAGUGUCUUUAAUGUAAACACACUUAUCACAUUCGUUUAUCUUAAAUCAGUUUGCCAACAUGGUUUGGUCAAACUUUGCAUGCCAAUGUUUAGGUGCUUGUUUUAGUCCAUAGAGAGACUUAACAAGUUUGCGCACUUUCUUUUCUUUACCAGGAACCACAAAACCCUCGGAUUAUUCCAUGUAAAUUUCUUCUUCCAAUUCUCCAUUUAGGAAUGUUGUUUUCACAUCCAUUUGAUGGAUUUCAAGACAAUAUACUGUCGCCAAGGCAAUUAACAUCCGUAUUGACGUUAUCCUUUACAGGAGAGUAUGUAUCAAAGUAAUUAAGACUUUUCUUCUGUUUGAAGCCUUUUAUUGCAAGUCUUGCCUUGUAUUUGUCAAUAAUAUCGUCCACUUUCAUUUUUCUUUUGAAGAUCCAUUUAGAACCUAAAGGUUUAUUUCCUAGAGGAAGAUCAACCAACUCCCAACUAUGGUUGCUCAAGAUUGAAUCAAUCUCACUAUUGACUGUCUCUUUCCAGAAGGAUGAAUCUAAAGACGAUAUCGCUUCUUUAGAUGUUUGAGGCUCAUUUUCUAAGAGAAAUGUUACAAAAUUUGAUCCAAAUGAAGUUGACGUUCUUUGACUUGUACUACGUCUUGGAUUCUCACCUGUAUGUACGUCCUCACUUGGUUCAUCUCGAGAUUGUUUUGACCCUCCACUAGACUGUUUAUGUCUAGUUUUAUGCAGAUAAAUGUGUUCAAAAACAUUAUCUGAUUCAAUUACCAUAUUUACAUUAAUAUCCGGAUGUUCAAAUUUAUGAACCAAAAACUGACAUACUUUACUAUUUUUAGCAUAUCCUAUGAACACACAGUCCAUUGCCUUAGGUCCUAUCUUCUUGGACUUUCGUUAGACACCCCCACACUUUGAAAUAUUUCAAGUUGGGUUUCCUUUAUUUCCAUUUUUCAUAUGGAAUUGAUUGUGUCUUACUAUGGGGCACUCUAUUGAGUAUUUGGUUAGCUGUAAGGAUAGCUUCCCCUAUAAGUUUUGCGGUAAACUUGAACUUAUAAAUAAGACAUUCAUCAUUUCCUUUAAGGUUCGAUUUUUUCUUUCCGCAAUUUCAUUAGAUUGAGGUGAAUACGGGACCGUAGUUUGAUGGACAAUUUUAUUUUCUCCAUAAAUUUCUGCAAAGGGAGAUUCAUAUUCUCCACCCCUAUCACUUACUCUUACAUCUUUGGGGGUCCUGAUAAAUCACAUGCAUUCAAGGAUGUGGUCUAACGGUCAACGAAGAGUUACUCUACAUAUAUAUAACAUGUUUAGGUACUUCAUGUUAUUUCACCUUAUCCAUAACAUUAUUUAAAAAUAAAAUUUGCCUGUUCUAUAUGGAGUAGUUGUCAAAGCAACACACAAAAAUAUGUAACAAAUGGAAACGCUGAGAAUGACAGGGGUUUUUAUUGAUUUAUUGAGGUAUAUGUGUAUUAUUAAAGGGAAUGACAUAUUUUAUGUGGUUAAUUUAACUAACUAAUAGACAAAUGAGAACACAUGAAAAAAAAUGCAAAUUGACGUUUUUAUUUGUAUUUUAUAAUUCUUCUUGUAUUUGUAUUUUAUAGUUCACAACAUCAUUUAUAUUUUGGUAUUCGUUGAUACAAUUGUACAUGUAUUUUAGUCAUCCCUACAUGUGGAGAUACACUGUGUAUACUUCCAUGUUACACAUUUCCAAUUCUCUUUUUAACAGACAUUCGCCUAGUGCUCAAUAAAGUAGUUAAGAACCAUGACUCGUCCUCUGUUCUAGAACCAUCCGCAAUUCAACAUAGAACUACUUCUAUCAAAUAAAAACUCAAAAACUGUGUGUUUCUCCUGCUGCUUCCCCCCACCCCCACCACCACCACCCGAAGUUUUUAUCAGAGGAGGACGAUUGCGGUGGUUGCGACGGAGGAAGCGAAAGAGGACGGUGGUGGUGGGGGUAGGGGUGAGGGGUGGGAGGAAGCAGCAGGUGAAACACUUGGAAAUACAUCGUCAGCUUUCAUUCUCUCAGCAAUUUCAAAAGAAAGAGCUUUGGCAUUGAUAUAGGCUUGAAUAAGAAGUUCGGUCAACGAAGAGUUACUCUAUAUAUAUAACGUUACAACAAAAAUCAAACACUCUUGGUGUUUACUUUUAGUGGAUCUUUUUAGCGUAAUACAUAAAUCGUCUCUAUCAUUUUGAUCUUUUUUUCUAACUGAUUUUCAACUUCUGUUUUAUAUUUGCCUAAAUGCACUUAUUGCUUCAUUCUUACUGUUUAGCAAAUAGACAUAAUAAUACCUAGUGUAAUCUUCAAUAAAAGUUAUAAAAUACUUUUUCCCACCACGAGAUGGUGUUGACUUCAUAUCACAAAUGUCAGUAUGAAUUAAGUUUAAGGGAUUGGAAUUUCGUUAAACGGACUUAUACGGAUGCUUAACAUACUUUGAUUCCACACACGUUUGACAUUUUGAUUUAUUGCACUUAAAGUUUGGCAAAACUUUUGAGUUAAGCAGUUUUCGCAAAGUUUUGUAAUUGACAUGUCCUAAUCGUUCAUGCCACAAUUCAUUAGACUCAAGCAAAUAAGAAGAAACAGAACUUUUAUUGAUUUCAACUGUCAUUACAUUCAUCUUAAAUAGGCCCUUGGUGAGGUAACCUUUUCCUAUGUACACUUUUCCUUUACUAAGUACAAUCUUGUCUGAAACAAAUACACAUUUAAAUCCAUUUUUGUCAAGAAGUGAUACGGAAAUCAAGUUCUUUCUUAACUUCGGUACGUAAAGGACAUUGUUAAGAGUCAACACUUUGCCUGACGUUAUUUUUAAGCAGACCUUUUCCCGUCCUUUUAACUUUUGCAAUUGCGGAGUUUGCCAUAUAGACCUUCUUUUCGCCUUGAGCCGGAGCAAAUGCAGCAAAGAACUCUUUAUUGGCACAAACGUGGUGGGUGGCGCUGGAAUCCAUCCACCAUUCUCUUAGAUUUCCCACCAAGUUGCAUUCAAAAAGCAUGACACAUAGAUCAUCCAUUUCAUUCUUAGAUUCAGCCACAUUCGCUUGAACCUUCUUUUUGCCUUUCUUUGGGGAAUGACAAUCUGUUGACUUGUGGCCAAUCUUGCGACAAUUAAAGCAUUUUCUCAUGAAUUUCUUCUUAGGUUGAUUGCUUUCUUGUCCAACUUUCUUCCACUUCUUCUAGUUGUUGGGGUCGUCUUCGACAAAGCUAGCUCCACUUAUUGCAGAAUUUCCUUUCAACCUCCUCUCUGCGGCUUUGUUGUCUUCCUCAAUGCGCAAUCUCACAAUGAGGUCUUCGACUGUCAUUUUCGUUCAUUUAUGUUUUAAGUAAUUUUUGAAGUCCUUCCACAAAGGUGACAACUUCUCUAUUAUUGUAGUAAUUUGAAAUGCCUCGUUCACAACCAAACCUACAAUAAAGUUCGUGUGAUCAUUAAGAACAUUAUUAACAUGUUCAAAUAAGGUAAUCACUAAAUUCAUACCUUUAGAAAGGAGAUCGUGGAUGAUGAAUUGCAAUUCCUGUACUUGAGAUACGACAGUCUUAUUGUCAAUCAUUUUGUACUCAAGGAAUCUUGCAACAAAGAACUUCUUUGUUCCAGCAUCCUCAGUCUUAUAUUUCUUUUCCAGCGCAUUCCAUAACUCUUUUGAUGUCUUUAUUCCGCUAAACGUUGUAUAAAUUAUCUUGGGGGCCACUUAGGAUAUAAUUCUUACAUAGGAAAUCAAAAUGUUUUCAUGUCUCUAUUACAACGAACCGCUCCUUGUCCGAAGUUUCUUAGGGAACUUCUGGAGCAUAUUUAGAUAUAAAUCUUUGAAGGCACAAGGUUUUCAGAUAGAAGAACAUCUUCGGUUGCCACCACUUAAAAUCUAUUCACGAAAUUUUUUUGGGCUUUUCCGCUAGUGUAAUAGCGGGUGGCGCAGUUGUGUGACUGGUUGUAGCAACAUUCAUUGCUGCCACACUUGUCAUACCUUCAGUUACAUGACCAUCGGUAGUCAUUUUUUCUUGUCACAAAAAAACAAUCACCUUUAGUAUAUCAAAAUACUAAUUACAAAUUUAUAGAAAAUUUUAAACACUACUUAUUUCUAGUUUAACGAUGAAGUUUUUAUGUCUUCCAAUCGUUAACCGAAUGACCUUUAACUUGUGAUGAAGUUUGUAUUUCUUCAAAUCACUUGUUAAGUUCAAACAGAGUAGAAAGCAUAAAGUUUUAAUCUCUAGAAACUAAACAAUACAGAUUACGAAAAUACUUUAGUAAAAAGAAAAUUUUACCAAACAAAUAAAAAAAUAUUUCUUUUACAAAUUAAAUUCCUUAAGAUUGAUACAAACUUCAAAUUAGGUUCAAGAAUAAGUUUUCAAGAACUACAAUGAAGUUCAACACCUUCAAACACAAGUUCAAAUGAAUAAUCAAAAGAACUAUCAAAUGAAGUGUUUAUUAACUAUAAAGAAAGGAAGAUGAAGCAGAAAUUUAAGAACCAAGUCCACCAACUUCACAGUAUGUCCUUAAGGAAUUUAUUCUCCUCAAGUACCUGAGGUUAUGGAAUCUUUCCUCCCAAGAUAAAAUGGUUCACUUUCUGAAAGUAGCGGUAAUGUCACACCUUUCUUUUUACCAAAACGAUACAUUUUUAAGUUUGAAAAGAGUUUAUUAUUAAGUGACAAAAGAAAAUAAUUUAUUUCGAAAAAGACUUUUAACAAUUAAAAUCCAGAGUCACCACUUGACAUAAAUUUGGUAUGCCAAGUCACCUUUGAAAAUCCUUUUACAAAACGAUUUUGACUCUUUUAAGCUGGUCCGCGAACGGAGAUUCCGGCUAAGGAAUUCUGUUGACCGAGGGGAAGGUGUUAGGCAUUCCUCCAUCCCGUGGUUCAACCACGGCCGCUUCGUGGAGUAUAUCGGCUAGUAUGAUGCAAUGAAGUGAAUAGACCAACAAAACACAUAAAACAAGCAAACAAACAAACAAAGAAAGUUCAAAACUAAAAUAAUGUCCAAUUCGAAUUAUACAGUCCCCAAAAUAGAAAAAUAUGAAAAUGUAAAUCCUAUUCUAAACUAAUCCUAGACUAAGCUCCACCCGACUCCUCAGGCCUUGAUCGCAAACCUCCUUUGCGUACAUGAUACUUCGAGGCAUUCACAAUCAUAUAAAAAUUAAAGGGAGAGAAGAUAGAAUUGGAUCUCAAAUGCUUUUCCAAUUGGAAUAAUCCUUCCGACUAGAACCACGAUCGGAAUCUCAAAUCGACCUCAACCAACGGACAAAACCAACUCGGUAUCGAAUUCAACCCCUAACACAUUUCAAAAUCAGCCGGGUAACCUCAAUGCUAAGCAGAUUUUGACUUAACCAUAAAUGGGUCUCGACGGAACCGAAGCUGGGUUCGUUGUUUCUAGGACUGGCAAUUUCAGCUCAUAUUUGUGAAAAGAGUUCAUUUAACCCAUAUUUAUUGAAUUCGAUCACUUAUAUUUCAAAUGGGUAAAUAUGGACUUUAACUCAUUUUUAAAUCUCAUACAAAUAUGGACAGAAUAGGUAAAAUAUGGAUACCCAUUUAAACACAAAGAUCACCCACCCAUGCUUAAAAUUUCAAUUUUUUUUUCUUUUCUAGUUUUUUUUUUUU
rnacentral:lncRNA from 1 species